AGGAACUCGGCAAACACCUGAAGCCUCGCCUGUUUACCAAAAACAUCGCCUCUUGCAAGACCAACGAAUAAGAGGUCCCGCCUGCCCUGUGACUAUAUGUUUAACGGCCGCGGUAUUUUGACCGUGCGAAGGUAGCGCAAUCACUUGUCUUUUAAAUGGAGACCUGUAUGAAUGGCUCCACGAGGGCUUAACUGUCUCCCCCUCCCAGUCAAUGAAAUUGAUUUCCCCGUGCAGAAGCGGGGAUAAGAACAUAAGACGAGAAGACCCUAUGGAGCUUAAGACGCCAGGACAGCUCACGUUAAACACCCCUUGAUAAAGGAAUAAACCGAGUGAACCCUGCCCCAGUGUUUUUGGUUGGGGCGACCGCGGGGAAAUACAAAACCCCCAUGUGGAACAGGAACACUAAGUUCCUAAAUCCAAGAGCUCCCGCUCUAAUUAACAGAAUUUCUGACCAGCUAAGAUCCGGCAAUGCCGAUCAACGGAACGAGUUACCCUAGGGAUAACAGCGCAAUCCUCUUAAAGAGUCCUUAUCGACAAGAGGGUUUACGACCUCGAUGUUGGAUCAGGACAUCCUAAUGGUGCAGCCGCUAUUAAGGGUUCGUUUGUUCAACGAUUAAAGUCCUACGUGAUCUGAGUUCAGACCGGAGUAAUCCAGGUCAGUUUCUAUCUAUGAAAGUAACCUUUUUUAGUACGAAAGGACCGAAAAGGAAAAGCCCCUGCUCAACGCACGCUUUACCUCCACCUACUGAAAACAACUAAAGUA
rnacentral:rRNA from 1 species